rnacentral:lncRNA from 1 species
CCUGCCGUGGGUAGAGAAGAAAGAGUCACCACGUACGCUGUGGGUGAAGAAGAAGAAAUUCGUGAAAGAAAGGAAAGGUUAUUGAUGGAGAAAGAGGCAAUGGAGGGUUUUCAAUCGAGCUCUUCUAGUUACACCUCCUGAAGUAUCAAUUUUUGCCAUUGUGGAACCAGAUCAUCACUGAGGAUCUCUUGGACCACUGCAAAUCCUGAUCAACAUUUCUUUGGAUAUGG